AUAGUAAUUUGAUACAGAAGAUGGAAACUGCUCACCAAAAAAGACAGAGAAGUUGAUGAUGGUGGUGAGGAAACAAGAAGAUCCUGGAUCUCUGACGUCCAUGGAACUUUCAUAACAUCGUUGCCACUGCUACUUCAAUGAUCCCUUUAUGUGAAAUAAAGUAAAUCACUAUCUUGAUAUUUCCAGUUAUCUUGGAUUUCUCAAAUUAUACGUCUUAAAUGACAAAGCAUCAGAAAGGUUAAGUUUGUGACAACAUUUUCAACAGAAAAGUUAGGAAUACACUGAAUUUUUAAACAAGAACGGAUAUUAUUAUCUCUGCUUGCAAUAUUAUAAAUGUCAUUCAGGGAGUUAAUUUUUAGAGACAAAUGAUAAAUAAUAAGUAGACGCACUUUAUAUAUGUUUUCAGAUUCUUUAACAAAAGCUGUUUUUCCUGUCUUUAGAUAAAAUUUGGCAAAAAAUACUUAUAAAGUAGUAAUAAAGAGGUAGUAGAUAAAACAUAGUAAAAGCAAAAUGAAUCAAUAACACAACAGCUCUUUUACUAUAGAAGAAUUUAAUAUUGUAGAUUAAUUGAUAUUGGUUGUUGCAUUAAACGAAAUCUAUUGAAGUCUACAUGGGUAUUUAAAUAUCAUAAUAUAUAUCACAUAUAUAUCUAUAAAGUUAUUUUAGAAUAUUUUCUGUCUACAAUGAGAAGACUAUUAGAGCUUAUACUAUGAAGUACUAAUAAGUGCAAAUGUUCAUUUGGAAUUAUUUCUUGUCCUUUAUAAAAACGGAAUUUGAUUUUGGCUAAUGUUGGUAUCUUCACUUUGGCAUCUACCUUAAAAAAUAGUUUAUUAUUACUACAAACCACAGUAAUAUAGUAUUAAAAUAUUUAUAAAAUAAAUGUUUUAUGAGUUUCUGCUAUUUGCCAGGCAUACAAAGUUAUAUGAAUCUUUCCAAAUACUGAUGGUAAGAAUUAUUAAUUUCAAUUAGCUUGCAUUUUAUGUUAAGAAAUUUUAAUAAAGGCAGAGUUACUUUUUCCAAGUUACAUAUCUCUUAUACCUAAAUGGAAAUUGCACUUUCUCUUCUCAAAUACCUGAAUCCAUUCUUUUAUGUUACAAUAUUAACAUUCAUUUAGAGGUUUAUUCUCAAGAACAAUGUAAUUUUCAUUGUGGAUUUUGGGAAUAAGGAAGGAGAGUAUGUUCAAUUAUAGUCUUUAAAUUCUGCUUUCUUUUCAGUCUAUCUACCUAUUAUCUAUCUAUCUAUCUAUCUAUCUAUCUAUCUAACAUCUCCUUCACUAAAAUUCACCAUUUUGCUAUACAAUUCUAUAAAUGUGGACAAAUACAUUAAAGAAUAUGUCUGUCAUAACAAUCAAGAUAUAGAACAGUUUAUUUAAAGAAAUUCACUUGUGUGGCCUCCCGCAUUCCCAACACAGACCACUACUGAUCUUCUUCAUAUAAAUGGAAUCAUUUAGUAUGUAGCCUUUGGGUCUGGAUUCUUUCAUGUAUAUUGUCUUUUAGGUUCGUCUAUGCUAUUAUAUAUACUAACACUAUGAUAGUUUUUUCCUUUUCAUAUUUCAUGAGUAUACCAGCGUUUGUUAUCUAAUUAUCAGUUGAAAGACUCUUUUUCCAAUUUUUGUCAAUUAUACAUUGAGCUACUGUGAAUAUUUGCAUAAAGUUUCUUGUGUCAACAAAAUUUUUCACAUUUUAAAUCAUAUGUUUGAUACCAGUUAAACUUUAUAAGAAAUUGUUCCCACUCUUUUCCCAGAUAACCGUACCAUUUUACAUUUCCACGAGAAUGAAUGAAAGUUUGGGUAACUCUGCAUCUGUCAGUACCUUAGUACUGUCUCUUUAAAAUUUUUUAAAUUCUGCUUUUUUAAAAACCACUUUCAAGUGAAAAUAAUAUAAUAUGAGAUUGGAAUGUAAUUUCUUCAAAUCUUAUCUCCACUGCAAACUAUUUGAUCAGGUGCAUGAACUUGAUUUUUUUUCUUAAAAAAGUAUUUAUUCUUACGUUACAUGACAGUAUCUUUUUAAACAUGGCAAGUUAAUUUUCUAAAAUCUUUUAAAAUUUAUGCUUACUGUACAUCUGAGGUUUUGAGUUCCCACUCUUUUAUGUCAUUAUAUAAUUGCCCAAUAAAUACAAGCCCUAUGUUAACAUUAAAAGUAGCAUACUUGUUGUUAUACAUGCAAACUGGGCAUUUGGCCUUAACACAUGGUGAUUUGAAGACAGGUAUAAAGAGAUUUUUAAAAAUGUGGUAAGACAUAUUACUGGGUUGAUCUCUGGUAAUCCUGUUACAUACAAGCAUAUGUAAUGUAAAUUUUAAUAUAUGCAAACAUACAUACAUGUAUAUACACAUUAAUAAAGGCAAAGUUACUUUCUCAAAGUAACUUUGGAAAUUUCACUUUGACAUACAUAUACGUGUAUAUACAGAUUUUUCCUUUUUAUUUCUGUGAGUUUUAAGAUGAUGAUGAUUAAUUUUUCAAAAGCUUUUUUUCAUUUAAAUUCAUUGAUCUUAUUGAUUUCCAUCAAAUAAUAUUGAGAAAGCACAUUGUGACGGUAAAUAUUGACUGUCAACUUGAUUGGACUGAAGGAAGCAAAGUGUUGUUCCUGGGCAUGUCUGUGAGGGUGUUGCCAAAGGAGAUUAACAUUUGAGUCAGUGGACUGGGAAAGGCAGACUCACCCUCAAUCUUGGUGGGCACAAUCCAAUCAGCUGCCAGCGUGGCUAGAAUAAAAGCAGGCAAAAGAACGUGGAAAUAUUAGACUGGCUUAGCCUCCAAGCCUAUAUCUUUCUUGUGUGCUGGAUGCUUCCUGCCCUCGAACAUCGGACUCCAAGUUCUUCAGCUUUGGGAAUCAGAAUGAAUUCCUUGCUCCUCAGUUUGCAGAUGGCCUAUUGUGAGACCUCACCUUGUGAUCAUGUGUGUUAAUACUCCUUAAUAAGCUCCCCUUUAUAUAUUCAUCUAUCCUAUUAAUUCUGUCCCUCUAGAGAACCCUGACUAAUGCACAUACUUAAUUAUGAAAGAAAUAAAAAAUUUACAAACUACAUAUUUUUAUUAAAAAUUAUACAUGCAUAUAUGCCUUAGAUCAUAUUAUAUAUUCGAUGUCCUAUUUAUAUGUAAUUGGGUCUUAUUCUACAAAGAGUUCUCUAAUAUGAAUAUUUAAAACACAUAGAUUGUGGAUUGGAAGACUCUCAAAAGCUAAUAGUGAUUAUCCACUAGCUGGUAGAUUUGUUGUUAAUUUAUCAUAUGAACUCCACUGUUUAAUAAUUAAAUAUAACUAAACCUUAUUUUAUUUACUCUUAAGGAAUUUUUUUAAAUUAGCAAUAAUUUUAUAGCAAUGAAAUUGCCUAGACACAAUGUGAAAACAAACAGCUAUAAGUAGGCAUAAAGUUAAACAUACAAAAUACUGUUGUAUUUUUAAAAAGUUACUGGUUAAUUUUAUGAUCCACUGCCACAUUUAUAGUUAUGCAAACUAACAGAAGAGCAUACAUAUAUCAUGCUUCACUAAUCAAAUAAUUAUUUAUGUAAAAUAAAAUAAUUACUUAUAAUUUUUAUAUUGCUUUUAUAGCAUUAUUUCUGCAAAUAUAAAAACAUUCUUAAUUAUUGGUACAAGUAAAACAAUUAUCUGUUCAGUUUUGCAAAACUACUUUAAAAUAUUUGUUUUUAAGAAAUUGUUUCACCAAAGUAAAUAAAUAUUUAUAAGGGAGGAAAAAUUACUUGGUACAAAACUAUUUUUCACUGUGACAUUCUUAUAAAUAAGCCUCAUGGCAUUACUUAAUGCUAUGAAUUUACUUCAUACAUUGGUUUAAUUUAAUUUAGUCAACUAAUUAUUUAAACCUAUCUUUGAACUUUUAAAGAGGCUCAAUUUUCCCUAUGCUUCUUCCCAAAUUUCUGUAUAGGAUCAUAGAAUUACACGGCAACCUAGAAUUAGCAGAAAAAAAGCAAGAUCUGUUUCUUUUUUUCACAUUCAUUUAUAAUUAAUCCCCACUAAACUGCUUUUAUUUCUCAGAAUCCCUGCACCAUUCUUUCACUAUGGUGUGCAUAUUAUUUCCUAAAUAAUUUUUAUAAAAAUGCCUGAAAUGUCACUUUUUAAGUUCUACUUUUGCUUUCUUAGGGUUUUAGUGAUAAAAAAGUAAAAAAAAAAAAAAAAAAAAAGGAAAAUCCCACUCGCUUUCCUACGAUGAAUCUGUUUUUUUCUCAUUUAGCAAAUACUACCUGAAGAACAACUCAUUUGGAUAUUUCUUUAUGUUGAGCUUGAUUAAACUUUCCAUCCUCAUUCAGUGCUGUAGGAUCAUGUUAAUUUUUGCUCAUUUGAGUCUCUUAUCCAAUCCAGUCAAAAAAAUCAGUACAGUAUUUCAUAGUGUCUGUUGUUGAGUAUUCUGAUCACAUUACUUACGGUAGAUAUUUACUACAUGCCAAAGACAAUGUUUCACAACUGCUCUUCAUUAUGGUUUUUGCCAAAUCUAUUACUAUAAAUCAUAUUUCAACAUAUGAUCCAAAGGAUCACAACUGUCUGCAUAAAAACUUAUAGAAACAGAUAUAAUCGAUCACCUCCUCUGUUGUUUCUACUAACCAGGUUUUGAAUAUUUAAGGGGGAAAAUUAAGUUGUAGCAAUUUCAAAGCUGUCAGAAGAAUCAAAUCUGGCCUAUGCAAAUAUAUUUUGUUAAAAUUAUGCUUAGAAAUACAAAAGCUGUAGCCUAAUAAUUUUAUGAACAGUUUGAAAAAAAGAAUCAUAUUAACUUAUUUAUUUUAUUACUUGUUGCAUUACUAGUAUGAGGCAUAUUGCCUGAGAAUAGUAGACACGCAAGAUAUAUUUGUUGAACUGAAAUAAAUUUAACUUUUAAAAAACAUAAUUAAUAAUAUUCCUCAAUACUCUAACAUAGUACUAUAUAUGUGUAUAUAUCAUUAUGUACUAGUAUAGUACUAGAAUUAAUAUACACAUUCCUUUGACAUACUUUUUCUUAUUCAUUGAUUUCAUUUUACAUACCUAUUUCAAUUAUUUCUAAAAAUUAUUUUCUGUAUUCUUCAAAUAUUUGCCCAGGUAGCUCAACAAAUUCCUGAAUUACAUUCUCAGAUUCUGAUUUAUUGGGUCUGGAGAGGUACAAGGAAGUAAAAUUUUAGCAAAGAUCUUUGGUGAUCCUAAUGAAAUCAAUAAUAAUACAAUCAAUAAUAUUUUACAAAACUACUUUAAAAUAUUUGUUUUUGAGAAUAUUGUUUCACCAAAGUAACAUAAAUAUUUUAAGAAAACAUUUAUGUGAAAUAUUUUUAAGAAAAAAUUCAAUAAUAUUUUGACAUGCUCAAUAAUAUUUUAAUGGGCUAAACAGAUAUCAAUAGAUUUUCAUAUUCUCCUAAUUCUUAUUUUGCAGGGGAAUUUGGUUUUCUUGCCUGUUAGAUACAAUAUGAGAAUUGAGUUUGCUAGAGUGCAUUCUCCAAGAUUACCUGUGACCCAGAAAGCUUACAGAACUUGGAUUAAAACCUUAAAAACCUACUAACACUUUACAUGCUGUUGCAGUACUUCAGUUGCAAUAGCUACUUAUUUUUCUAGACUCCUUUAUUCAUCUCUUCUUCCUUAUUUGCUGAGAUACAAGAAACUAAUAGAUUUGUUUGUGACCAAGAUGGUCUAUUCAUCUUCCUCACCUCUACUAAACUUUAGACAGGUUUCUCCCUGACUGUAGGUCCCUAACCUCCCUGUUCUUGGAGUGUUUAGUUUAGAAAACUUAGAAUUAUAAAUUCUCUCUCUGUCCUUUUGAGAUGUAAAUCUUCUCCCUGCCUCCUACAACCCAGGAAUAUCUGUUUCAAGAAACAGAGCCAUCUCUUUGAAAUAUAGUCAUCAAAGAACAGAGUGUCACCAUCUCCCAGUUUCUGUGAGAGGGUAGGGGCCUAAUGUCCACAGGCACCAAUUAGCACACACAAAUGGCCUCAUCACAUACACCAUGCUUCCCUAUAAUGUCCUUCAGUACUUUUCCACCGGCUCACUUUUCUUGCUUUUUGUUUCAACAGAGUUAAGUUCAGUCUGUCUUCCAUAUUGUAAUAGUCUUGAAUAAAGUCUUCCUUGUCUGUUUAUGUCCACUGCAAUUUUUCUUCAAUAUUAGUUUUUACCUCUUUUCUUUAAGAAGAGAAACUCUUAUAUUACCAAGAAGAACCUUAGCAAUUCAAAAACUUUCUAUUUGUAAUAUCAGAAAAAAACUUCAGCUCCAGGAUAUCUGACUAGUCAAUUGCUGCUUAAUUAUGUUUAUAAUUGCUAGUGAUUCCCUCAUUAUAAAUAGCAGUUGAUAUUGAUGUGUCACUUUAACUUAUCUUCAUAGUCUCAGGGAACCAUAAAAUCUCCACCAAAGGUCUCUUUCUACAUGCUCCAUAUUUGUAUUAACAUUGCUUCCUAAUUCAAAUAAAGACAUGUAAAAUAUGAAAUUAAUGGAAGCUUCUUUGGGAAAGUGAACAGUAACUAUUGCUCUUCAAAACUCUGUUUGUAGAUGCUCUUUCUAAGUUUGAUGGAUGGAAAUAAUUUAUCCAGAAAUAUCUUUAUACAUUAUUUUUGCAAUAUGAGUAUCUAAUUAAAGAACAAUGGUUAUGACAAAUAAAUGUAAAAGUUGAUUUAUUCUACCAAAGAAAUAUGUAUUUAACAUGGCCUAUUUUAAGAAAUCAUUAAUUGAAUACUUUGAAUUUUCUCUAGACUCCAUAAUAAUAUUCUAAAAAAGAAAACGAUCAUAAUGAAAAUCACUUAAAUAAAAAUAAUUUCUAAGUAUAAAUUAUAACAGUAUUGUUGAUGUAUUUGCAUAAUAUUCUAAUUGUUGCAAGACAGAAGCAGCC
rnacentral:lncRNA from 10 species